GACGCAAUCAUUUUGAUAAUCCGGUUGGUUUUAAUAAGAGAAUAAACGUUCAGAAAUCGGCAAAUUAAAAAAAGUAGACAUAGAUAUGGGUUUGAAAAUGAAAACUGUCAAAACACCAUAUUACAUACAUUACCAUAUUUAUACAUUACCUAUGUUUAUUUGGUUUAAAGUAUUUAUACGGUAAUUAAUAAAAACAUCGAAUACUUAAAGAUAUUCGUUUUGAAAUGGUACAACGCGAAGUGAUUUUAGCUUUUAUAAAAUUAUAUUUGUUUAGGUAAUCCAUAAAUAUCAUCCAUCAGUAUACCUACUGUUUUCGCUUAUACUCAUUAUUUCAGAGUUCAGAGUUGGGUUAGUCAUCUUAUUUAUGUUUUAAUCUACGUAUAGUAUUAGCCUAUUCAUAUAAUUCAACGAAGGGGGCACAUAUUUGUGUAUAAAAAAGUAGCUGUAAACGGUAAUAUAAACAAAAUGGUAGAGGUUUUUCAAAAUAUAUUCAUUCGGAUUUAUAAAAGAGCAUCUGUUUAUAUGCAUAAAAUAUUUUUCGGUUUUGUAUACGAAUGGGUUUAUUUGUGAGAUGAGAAAAAUGUGUUUAACCGGUAAUUGCUGCAGAUGGUCUCCGAGCAUAUUAUAAAAUGUUUUCUCUAUAAGAUGCAACCUGCAUGUCGGUUGUUUAUAUU